UCCCUGGUGGUCUAGAGGCUAAAACUCUGUGCUCCCAGUGAAGCAGGCCUAGGUUCAAUUCCUGGUCAGGGAA
rfam:TPA: Bos taurus chromosome 21, whole genome shotgun sequence.